CCCUUAGAUGCCCUGGGCUGCACGCGCGCUACACUGAUGUGUCCAGUAAGCACCUAACCUCUUCCGAAAGGAACGGGUAACCUUUGCAAAGCACAUCGUGAUGGGGAUAGAUUAUUGCAAUUAUUAGUCUUGAACGAGGAAUUCCUAGUAAGCACAAGUCAUCAGCUUGUGUUGAUUACGUCCCUGCCCUUUGUACACACCGCCCGUCGCUCCUACCGAUUGAAUGUUCCGGUGAGCUCUUCGGGCUGCGCGGUCUGCAGUUUCUGCGUUCCGUGCGGAAAGUUGCGCAAACCUUAACAUUUAGAGGAAGGAGAAGUCGUAACA
rnacentral:rRNA from 1 species